UACGAAGGGGGCUAGCGUUGCUCGGAAUUACUGGGCGUAAAGCGCACGUAGGCGGCUUUCUAAGUCGGGGGUGAAAUCCUGGAGCUCAACUCCAGAACUGCCUUCGAUACUGGAGAGCUCGAGUCCGGGAGAGGUGAGUGGAACUGCGAGUGUAGAGGUGAAAUUCGUAGAUAUUCGCAAGAACACCAGUGGCGAAGGCGGCUCACUUGGCCCGGUACUGACGCUGGAGGUGCGAAAGCGUGGGGAG
rnacentral:rRNA from 1 species